GAUGUCACCUAUGCUUUGAACAAAACCUGUUCUCCCCCUCUUCCCUGGUCUCCCAGAGAGGUCACCUGUGAGGUCAACUACAUGGAAGUGUCUGUGAGGAGUGAUGUGGCCUGUCCAACAGGGACAAAGAAGGAUGACUGGGAUGCUAGUUUCAAAAGGGCCUAUUCCUCAGCCACUUCAGAUUGGCAGGUGAUGUUUCAGAGGGCGCAGCCGGGGGUGUUGCCCAUUAGCCUUAACACGGCUAAAACGC